GUGCAAUUGAUACAAAGCUCAGUCUUUUGAUAUAAAUAUUUGUUACAUUUUAAAAAAAAAAAAAUGCAAUAAAAUUAUACUAGGAUAGAAUUACGUUAUAUGUUUAGAGACUUUGAUGUAUAUAUAUAUGUUAGUAAACCACCUUUGAUCUGCAUAUUAAAUAUGUUUAUAGCUGUAAAUGAAUAUGAUUCGCACUGUAUAGAUGUAGUACGUACAUGUAUAUAUGUCUGCGUUAUUUAUCAACGCAUACAAGAUUUUUUACAUGUCUGAUUUACAAGUCUAGAAGGACAUAUAUAGUUACAUACAUGUAGGAAGUAUCAAUUCUGCGAUGCUAUCAUAGAAAAAAAAAUAUGAAUUUCCUUAUGAUAUUAACAUCUUCUCUUCAUGUUUUUCGUAUUAAUUAUAUUCAGGCGUUGAUUUCCACUUUUGAAGGAUACAAGCAGUAAUACUGCGAUGUUAUGGGGAUAAAUGUUUGUCACGCGUGUAACUCACACGGAAAAUAAGUUGGAGUGUAAAGUCAAUAUUGCAAUAUGCAUACAUUAAUAAAAAUACACAUGGGUAUAAGGUACAACAUACUUUGAACUAUAUGUUGUCGCAAUAGACUGAUGGAAGUUUCGAGUUCAGAGAUUAAUCGUAAUUAUGUUUUAAUAAUUCAAUAUUAGUUAUAUAUACAACUGUUCUCAUUUCGAAAUAAAAAAUAGAAAUAC
rnacentral:sRNA from 1 species